rnacentral:rRNA from 1 species
GAUGAACGCUAGCGGCAGGCUUAAUACAUGCAAGUCGAGGGGCAGCGCAGUGUAGCAAUACAUGGGCGGCGACCGGCAAACGGGUGCGGAACACGUACGCAACCUUCCUUUAAGUGGGGGAUAGCCCAGGGAAACUUGGAUUAAUACCCCGUAAUAUUAUGAAGUGGCAUCACUUUAUACUUAUAGCUCCGGCGCUUAAAGAUGGGCGUGCGACUGAUUAGGUAGGUGGCGGGGUAACGGCCCACCAAGCCUGCGAUCAGUAACUGGUGUGAGAGAACGACAAGUCACACGGGCACUGGAACACGGGCCCGACUCCUACGGGAGGCAGCAGUAAGGAAUAUUGGUCAAUGGACGCAAGUCUGAACCAGCCAUGCCGCGUGGAGGAUGAAGGUCCUCUGGAUUGUAAACUUCUUUUAUUUGGGAAGAAACCCACUGUUUCUACGGUGGUUGACGGUACCAGAUGAAUAAGCACCGGCUAACUCCGUGCCAGCAGCCGCGGUAA